GCAGGGUUGUCAUCAGUUUCCUCAUUGGUGCCCUCAAUGGAUAGAGCGUCUCAGUGGAGCUGCUGAAGCUAGACGCUCAACCUGCACAUGAGUGAGUGCUCGUGGAAGCGCGCUGCAAACAUGUCGAUGGUGGCUGCUGAAGCUUGACUUUGGCAACGAGUCCAGGUGGCCAUUGGCACAGACAUGUCAUCCGUGAGCUUUAGUUCCAGGCGAGAUUCCAAGAGGAGCAGCAAGCAUCGCCGCCACACGGAAAACUCCAGUAACUUCUUGCCCCUUCCAGCCUCGGAUCACGAACGACUUCAAGCUGAAGAUGUUGAACCAUGCGAUGCAAGAAUUAUUAUUUUGGGCUCCUAUGGAAGGUAUUAUUCUCGUGCAAAACCCUAUUCUCCCCUCUUUCUUGAUCUAUUAGGGUCAUAAAUCUGGAAUCGUGGUUUACUACUUGAAAGUCCAUGGUCAGUCUUAGCCUCAUUCUCUUGAUUAACAGCAGAUUUAUGCUCUUCCUGUUGUAUUCAGUCAAGGAACGUACAUAGAUAUUGGAAGCUAUACACUAUAAUGGAAUUUCUUCUGCUCUCGUAUGGAAACCUGCAACACACUGAAUGUUUUAUUUGUCGAUGACAAUGAAUUACUCAUGUUUUGUCUAAAAAAUGUGAAACAAUUCUUAUUUGCACUUU